AACUAGCUAUUAUGAUAAUAAUGUAGCUAAAAGUAGUUAUUACAAUCAUACGUACCAGCUAAAGUUAGUUAUUACGAUCAAACCUAGAUAGAACUAGCUAUUACAAUCAUACAUUGCUAAAACUAGCUAUUACGAUCAUACGGACUAGCUUAGACUAUUGUGAUCAAACCUAGGUAAAACUAGCUAUUACAAUCGUACGUACCAUUACAACUAGCUAUUACGAUCAUGUAGCUUAAACUAGCUAUUAUGAUAAUACGUAGCUAAAACUAACAAUUUUGAUCCUAUGUACCAGCUAAAAAGACCUUGUGUAAAAACUAUAACUCGCCUAAACCACAGUUCGUACCAGCUAAAACUAGCUAUCAAGAUCACACAUAGCAGUUAGAACAAGCAAUUAUGAUUUGGUCAUCUCAAGAAUCUCUAAAAAUAUUAACCCGAUGGUGACCCAUCCUCUGGCCCCACUAACGAAACCCUUGCAAAUGCAGUGGCUGACAUCUUAACGUUAUGAAUGUUACAAAGUGGGUGUCAGUGGCGUCUCUCCGUCCUGCGUUCAAAUGAGAUGGCCUUCACAACAUCACGCUUGUGUUUACAUCUGGUGGGAGCAGAUUGAGUUACUGAGGAUAAAUGACUCGGUGAAGAGCAAGGUCUCCAAUUAUCCCUCCCUGCAGUCCUAUUUGAGUUGAUUUAUGAAAAAAUGUGUUUUCCUACCAUUUCGUCAUUGACUAGAUUUUGCACAAAGUGGUCCCUGCACAUAGUUUCUCAUUUGCCAUGCGGUACUUACGCAACGCGACCGGACGUUGUGGAUGUGCACACCCCCUGCUGGUUAUACCUGGGAUUCCUUGAUUUUGUUUUGUGUGUCGCACCCGUGUGUGUGUGUGCGUGUGAGCUGGCUCUGUGCGGUUGAUUCUUAUUGGUUGAUCUGAUAGGUGACCUAUCUUUCGCUUUGUAUCCUAUGAUGCCUUCCUGCCCUCAUUACGCUCAUGAUUAGCUUACUUAAAUAAUUAUGUGACAGGAUAGAGUUGGGUUGAAGGGAAACCGCCUAAACGUUUAGAAUCAGUUGACGGCUAACCUAGCAUACCACUGUGGUGUUACCUUUUACAGUUUUUUAUUUUGUGGCCUUUUGAUCUAAACUUUUUAUCUGAAUGUGAAUAUUUCUGGUCAUCGCUUGCAGUUGAGCCUGAUCAUCAAAAAUACAUUUAAAUGAUUUCAGUCGAAAAUGGUUUCACAGACCAUUAUUAUUAAUAUAACAGAAUGUAUCAGAUUGUCUCUUAUUGUAGAUUGAAAUUUAACAACUCCAAUGAAAAAGAAAAUCUGUGCAAUAUAACAUCAAUAUUACAUUCAUCCAUUGUUAAUUACAUCUAUCCAUAAUCCAUCCUGUUUCCAUGGUAACGAGACCAAAGACUCAACCAAAAGAUGUACCUCAACCGUUGAACCUUCCCUUCCCAUAUUUGUUCAGUGUAUUGCCAUACAUGGCCCAUCCAUGAUGGAUGACCCAUACAUGACCCAUACAGGUAGACCCAUACCUGCGUCUACGUCCCUCACUCUAGAGUUAAAGCGUUGGCGGUGAUUUCCAGGUUCCACAAUGCAGUCGUACGCGGGGAGAAGGGUUUGGGUUUAUUUGAUUGGUUUGUUUUCUAAGCGGGCCGCGGCGUGACUUUUACUUUGGAUGCCCUGCGUUUUCUGGAAUUGCUUGGGGUGCGUUUGUUUUACUGCGACCGGGGGCGGAGGGUGAAGACAGCUCGCGACGCACGGCUCCAUGUGUUUCUUGAGGGUUGAAUUCUGCAGUUAUUCCUUGUUUUGCGUCUCUGGAGGCUUUCACUUGACGUCCGACCACAAGGCCGUGGAGCAACAUGGAGGAUACGGGGAGGAGGGGGAUAAACACUACAGACCGUUGAGGAGGGGCGAGGAGAUUGGAGAGGGGAAAGAGUAGAAAGGAGGGAGGAUGAGCAGUGUUUAUCUCAGUAGUCCUGUAUCGCAUCGUUCUGUCUCCUCUGUAACUUCUGGUGUUUUGAUUACAUUUUAAAUAAUAAAGAACAUUGUUUAAAA
ensembl:lncRNA